GACGAACGCUGGCGGCGUGCCUAAUACAUGCAAGUAGGACGCAGUUGCGAACGUGUGAUUAACGCGUCGGUAACUGCCUAUUAGAGGGGGAUAACUAUUGGAAACGAUAGCUCAUACCGCAUACUAGUAGAUGGACCUGCGUGGUAUUAGCUAGUAGGUAGGGUAAUGGCCUACCUAGGCGACGAUACAUAGCCGACCCGAGAGGGUGAUCCGCCAAACUGGGACUGAGGCACGGCCCAGACUCCUACGGGAGGCAGCAGUAGGGAAUCAUCGGAAAUGGGGGGAACCCUGACCGAGCAAAGCCGCGUGAGUGAAGAAGGGUUUCGGAUCGUAAAGCUCUGUUGUUAAGGAAGCGGUACUUAACCAGAAAGGGACGGCUAACUACGUGCCAGCAGCCGCGGUAAUUC
rnacentral:rRNA from 1 species